AAUAAGUGUAGUUUUACACUAUUCACGUUCAACGUUUGACCGUUCGUCUUAUUUAAUUUUUUUUUAUGAUUAGUAUUUUUAUUACUAUUAGAUAAUAAAAUAUUAAUAGUACUUUAUGUGUGACUAAAUAUUUUUAAAUAAUACGGAUAGUCAAAUAUUGGGCACAGAUAUUCACAGCUACAUUUAUU
rfam:Oryza glaberrima chromosome 7 Oglab07_0143_4, whole genome shotgun sequence.